AAGCUCGUAGUUGAAUUUCGGGAUCAGUUUGUUGGUCGUGCUUCGGUACGUACUGUCAUUACUGGUUUCUCCCUUCUGAAGAACCUUGAUGUCAUUAAUUAGGUGUCUUGGGGAAUCAGGACUGUUACUUUGAAAAAAUUAGAGUGUUUAAAGCAAGCAUACGCUUGAAUACAUUAGCAUGGAAUAAUGAAAUAGGACGUUUGAUUCUAUUUUGUUGGUUUCUAGGAUCGACGUAAUGAUUAAUAGGGAUAGUUGGG
rnacentral:rRNA from 1 species